UACGGAAGGCAGCAGUGGGGAAUAUUGCACAAUGGGCGCAAGCCUGAUGCAGCCAUGCCGCGUGUAUGAAGAAGGCCUUCGGGUUGUAAAGUACUUUCAGUCGUGAGGAAGGUGUUAAGGUUAAUAACCUUAGCAAUUGACGUUAGCGACAGAAGAAGCACCGGCUAACUCCGUGCCAGCAGCCGCGGUAAUACGGAGGGUGCGAGCGUUAAUCGGAAUUACUGGGCGUAAAGGGCACGCAGGCGGUUAAUUAAGUUGGAUGUGAAAUCCCCGGGCUUAACCUGGGAAUGGCAUUCAAGACUGGUUAGCUAGAGUCUUGUAGAGGGGGUUAGAAUUCCAUGUGUAGCGGUGAAAUGCGUAGAGAUGUGGAGGAAUACCGGUGGCGAAGGCGGCCCCUGGGACAAAGGCUGACGCUCAUGUGCGAAAGCGUGGGGAGCAAAC
rnacentral:rRNA from 1 species